rnacentral:rRNA from 1 species
CCGGCGACCGGCGCGACGGGUGAGUACACGUAUGCAACCUGCCCUCUUCAGGGGGACAACCUUCCGAAAGGGAGGCUAAUCCCGCGUAUAUCGGUUUCGGGCAUCCGAGAUCGAGGAAAGAUUCAUCGGAAGAGGAUGGGCAUGCGGCGCAUUAGCUAGACGGCGGGGUAACGGCCCACCGUGGCGACGAUGCGUAGGGGUUCUGAGAGGAAGGUCCCCCACACUGGUACUGAGACACGGACCAGACUCCUACGGAAGGCAGCAG